AGUGAACGCUGGCGGUAGGCCUAACACAUGCGAGUCGAACGGCAGCACAGUAAGAGCUUGCUCUUACGGGUGGCGAGUGGCGGACGGGUGAGGAAUACAUCGGAAUCUACUUUUUCGUGGGGGAUAACGUAGGGAAACUUACGCUAAUACCGCAUACGACCUACGGGUGAAAGCAGGGGAUCUUCGGACCUUGCGCGAUUGAAUGAGCCGAUGUCGGAUUAGCUAGUUGGCGGGGUAAAGGCCCACCAAGGCGACGAUCCGUAGCUGGUCUGAGAGGAUGAUCAGCCACACUGGAACUGAGACACGGUCCAGACUCCUACGGGAGGCAGCAGUGGGGAAUAUUGGACAAUGGGCGCAAGCCUGAUCCAGCCAUACCGCGUGGGUGAAGAAGGCCUUCGGGUUGUAAAUCCCUUUUGUUGGGAAAGAAAAGCAGCAGGUUAAUACCCCGCUGUUCUGACGGUACCCAAAGAAUAAGCACCGGCUAACUUCGUG
rnacentral:rRNA from 1 species